CGCUGAGAGAGGAGCUUGCUCUUCUUGGAUGAGUUGCGAACGGGUGAGUAACGCGUAGGUAACCUGCCUUGUAGCGGGGGAUAACUAUUGGAAACGAUAGCUAAUACCGCAUAACAAUGGAUGACACAUGUCAUUUAUUUGAAAGGGGCAAUUGCUCCACUACAAGAUGGACCUGCGUUGUAUUAGCUAGUAGGUGAGGUAAUGGCUCACCUAGGCGACGAUACAUAGCCGACCUGAGAGGGUGAUCGGCCACACUGGGACUGAGACACGGCCCAGACUCCUACGGGAGGCAGCAGUAGGGAAUCUUCGGCAAUGGGGGCAACCCUGACCGAGCAACGCCGCGUGAGUGAAGAAGGUUUUCGGAUCGUAAAGCUCUGUUGUAAGUCAAGAACGGGUGUGAGAGUGGAAAGUUCACACUGUGACGGUAGCUUACCAGAAAGGGACGGCUAACUACGUGCCAGCAGCCGCGGUAAUACGUAGGUCCCGAGCGUUGUCCGGAUUUAUUGGGCGUAAAGCGAGCGCAGGCGGUUUGAUAAGUCUGAAGUUAAAGGCUGUGGCUCAACCAUAGUUCGCUUUGGAAACUGUCAAACUUGAGUGCAGAAGGGGAGAGUGGAAUUCCAUGUGUAGCGGUGAAAUGCGUAGAUAUAUGGAGGAACACCGGUGGCGAAAGCGGCUCUCUGGUCUGUAACUGACGCUGAGGCUCGAAAGCGUGGGGAGCGAACAGGAUUAGAUACCCUGGUAGUCCACGCCGUAAACGAUGAGUGCUAGGUGUUGGAUCCUUUCCGGGAUUCAGUGCCGCAGCUAACGCAUUAAGCACUCCGCCUGGGGAGUACGACCGCAAGGUUGAAACUCAAAGGAAUUGACGGGGGCCCGCACAAGCGGUGGAGCAUGUGGUUUAAUUCGAAGCAACGCGAAGAACCUUACCAGGUCUUGACAUCCCGAUGCUAUUUCUAGAGAUAGAAAGUUACUUCGGUACAUCGGUGACAGGUGGUGCAUGGUUGUCGUCAGCUCGUGUCGUGAGAUGUUGGGUUAAGUCCCGCAACGAGCGCAACCCCUAUUGUUAGUUGCCAUCAUUCAGUUGGGCACUCUAGCGAGACUGCCGGUAAUAAACCGGAGGAAGGUGGGGAUGACGUCAAAUCAUCAUGCCCCUUAUGACCUGGGCUACACACGUGCUACAAUGGUUGGUACAACGAGUUGCGAGUCGGUGACGGCGAGCUAAUCUCUUAAAGCCAAUCUCAGUUCGGAUUGUAGGCUGCAACUCGCCUACAUGAAGUCGGAAUCGCUAGUAAUCGCGGAUCAGCACGCCGCGGUGAAUACGUUCCCGGGCCUUGUACACACCGCCCGUCACACCACGAGAGUUUGUAACACCCGA
rnacentral:rRNA from 1 species